GACGAACGCUGGCGGCGUGCUUAACACAUGCAAGUCGAACGGAAAGGCCCUUCGGGGGACUCGAGUGGGGAACGGGUGGGUAACACGGGGAUGAGCGGCCCUGCACUUUGUGAUAAGGCUGGGACACUGGGACUAAUACCGAAUAGGAGCACGAGAUACAUGGCGUGUGGGGGAAAGCUUUUGCGGCGUGGGUUAGGCCCGCGGCUUAUCAGCUUGUUGGUGGGGUAAUGGCCUACCAAGGCGAAGACGGGUAGCCGGCCCGGGAGGGUGACCGGCCACACUGGGACUGAGAUACGGACCAGACUGCUACCGGAGGCAGCAGUGGGGAACAUUGCACAGUGGGCGCAAGCGUGAUGUAGCGACGCCGCGUGAGGGAUGACGGCCUUUGGGUUGUAAACCUCUUUCAAUAGGGACGAAGCGCAAGUGACGGUACCUAUAGAAGAAGCACCGGCUAACUACGUG
rnacentral:rRNA from 1 species